GGAGAGGUCGCAUAGUUGGUUGAGUGCACCGGUCUUGAAAACCGGAAGGGGCCUAGUGUCCCUCGCGAGUUCGAAUCUCGCCCUCUCCG
rnacentral:tRNA from 1 species